GCAAGUCGACUGGAAUUCUUCUUCGGAAGAUAGUACGGUGGCGGACGGGUGAGUAACGCGUAGGAAUCUACCCAGUAGUGGGGGACAACAUGGUGAAAACCAUGCUAAUACCGCAUACGCCCCAAGGGGGAAAGCGGGGGAUCUUCGGACCUCGCGCUAUCAGAUGAGUCUGCGUUGGAUUAGCUAGUUGGUGGGGUAAAAGCCUACCAAGGCGACGAUCCAUAGCUGGUCUGAGAGGACGAUC
rnacentral:rRNA from 1 species